rnacentral:rRNA from 1 species
AUUGAACGCUGGCGGCAGGCCUAACACAUGCAAGUCGAGCGAGCGGCGGACGGGUGAGUACUGUCUGGGAACCUGCCUGAUGGAGAGGGCUAACUACUGGAAACGGUAGCUACUACCGCAUACCAUCAGAUGUGCCCAGAUGUGGUUAGCUAGUAGGUGGGGUAACGGCCCACCUAGGCGACGAUCCCUAGCUGGUCUGAGAGGAUGACCAGUCACACUGGAACUGAGACACGGUCCAGACUCCUACGGGAGGCAGCAGUGGGGAAUAUUGGACAAGGGGCGAAAGCCUGAUGCAGCCAUGCCGCGUGUGUGAAGAAGGUCUUCGGAUUGUAAAGCACUUUAAGCGGGGAGGCGUUACCCGCAGAAGAAGCACCGGCUAACUCCGUGCCAGCAGCCGCGGUAAUAC